UUAGAAGAGACCAGAUCCUCAACACAUACGUGCUGGUUGAGGAAAGAGAGGCCUUCUGAGUACCACAGGAAGAGAGUCUAGGAAGGAAUUGCAAGCUCCCUGCUGAAUGGACAGAGAUCUACGUGGAAACUAUGCUGGAGAGUGUAUAGGCCCAAAGAAGAACCAAAUGAAGAGUCUCUGGGUUAUAGAAGAGUCUACAACACAAAGAACUAAAUGAAAAC